UACCGACCUCAUCCUGGCCUCUCGCCUCGUGGAAAAUUGGCUGAGGGGACGAGGAUCUCACUCGCAACGUGUAGAAAAGCGGUGACGAAGGGCUUAGUGAGGACAGCCUUUCAAAGCCGCGUUUCUAAAGUCUUUUCAGGAAACUGGAACCGGCUGCGUGGGGGGCCGCCGGGGUUGCUUCUUCCCCGCGGUCUCCAGCAGGCGGCGCGUCCCAGGGACUCCGUGUCAACUCGGAAAGGCCGGUGUCCCUGGAACACAGACGCCUCACGAGCCCCGAAAACGCAAUCAGGUGCCAGAGCUGCUCGCCUGCGUUUGUCCGGCCGAAUCUACCCGCUCGGAGGAGAGCUCUGCCCACCGCUCCGGCGCUGAGGCCAUCGCCCAAGCUCUUUGCGAAAUUUUCUUGGGAAAACUGACACUGAGCCCCCAGUGAAGCAGCAAAGACUGCUUUACAGAAUUUUAUAACUUGCCAGUCCCCCUAUGAACGCGGGGAAAGGGACGCGAGAGGUAGUGGCCGAGAAACGUCGGAUCCGCUCAUCUCUUUCCCACUCUCUUUAUGGGAACAGUCGCAUAGUACAAGAAUACUUUCCCAGCCUCGUGGUUCUAUCACACUUAUUUCCGUUUCUGGUAAGUCUAGCUUCUCCUGACAUAAUUUCUGUAAAAUCCCCUAAAAUUGUUCCUUUACCUUUUAGGAAUGCCUUUACCUUUACCUUUCUUCCGGAGUGCCAGAUCCUUUACCUUUUAGGAAUAAGAUAGCAUCCUGAUAAAUAUCGUGGACAUGAAGUAGCGCAUGCAGGUGAAGGAUCUCAGAUGUGUGCCCCAGUCUCCUCAUGUGUAAAACAGAUGACGUUUAACUGCAAGGUGAGCAGUAACUGAGGGAAGCACUGCUUGUCACAUGGCAAGCUCUCAAUCUCCUCCUUCCACUGUCUCACUGGUUUUCCAGUGACCAGAGGCCCAGGUGCUAUAGCCUUAAAUACCUUGAAAGGGAAAGCCUUGGUGGAGGGGAGGACGCGUGAGGAAUUCUGGCUUUGGGGUAUAAAAUUGUUUCUCCAUCGAGAUUCUUGUUCAGGCACAUGACGGGCAGCCUUCUGAGGCUCUGGAGGCUUCAUAGUGGCAGAGUGAGAGGUCCAGUGAAAACUCAGGCUCCAGGCAACAGGAGCUGGGGUAUUAAAAGAAGGUGACAAAUCUCAUCCUUACGGGAGUUCCCAGCCAAGAACUUCGAAGGGUAGAGGGAAAAUUAUUUUUCCUUCUCUAGAAGAAUAAUGGUCACCUAGGACUGGAAAAACAAUUCUUUAAUGAAGACAGAGAAACCCCCGAAAAGACAGAAGGAAGUUGGUGAAAAGAACAAGAGGAAAGCUGAGGAAGGGACUUGGCCAAUAAAGCACAGGAUAAAAGUGUGUCAGAGGUCUCUAUCCAGGCCAUCGGUCUGAGAGAGCAGACAUUCCCUGAGGGUGGGAGAGAGCUCUCUGCAGACAUGACCUAAAGGGAUCAGAAGCCCCUUUUCAUGAAUCCAAGGGCAGAGGCCUGCAUGGGUAGACCAGGUGCCCAGGAGGCUGCAAAUGUCAAUACAGGGAAAUGCUGCUUCUAGUUUCCUCAUAGAAAUUUUCUUGACCGGGAAACAGAGUAUGCUGGCUAAUAUACUUCCUCCCUAAGGACAGUAAGUAUGACUCCAUGCCUUCCUUGGUUAUUCCUGAGGAAGGACUUCUGAGGGCUUUGCUUGACAUACUUCAAAGUUCCUCCUCUGAGCUCAGAGCAGCAUCUAAAGAAAAGAUGUCACAGCUGGAUACAUCUUUUGCAGAUUGGGGAAGCGCGCCUCCCUCGGAAAUGACUGCUAGGGUCAUCUAAUUCUUGAAGGAAGCGAUCUUAGAAAGGCCAAGAAAGGAAAGGGGAAAAAUGGAGGAAGUGCAGGACAAACAGAUAAGGAAAUGAAAAAUGUUUAUUUUGGCAAAGUGGCUUAUCUUUUACGUGAUAAAGAAGAAGAGUAGGACAGCCAAGCC
rnacentral:lncRNA from 1 species